rnacentral:lncRNA from 1 species
GCAUGCCAGGCGAGCGCGCUACCCCUUGAGCCACAUCCCCAGCCCGGAAAAUAUUUUAAAUGAACAUUUCAUCCGAGUAAGUCAGUUUCUUUAUGAGAACCUUAUCCAUCUCAUCCUGCCAGAUGACAAACAGCAAUCUAUUUUAAAAGUCGAUAGAUUCUUACAAAAGGAACAACAGAACUGAUUCAGCAUUGACUAAGUUUGGAAGAAAAAAAAAAAGUAAAUUCAAAACAAAAACAAAAACAGAUUUCUGGCUGCUGUCCCCAGCUCUCCUCCACAGCUGAUGUUCUUGGCGGGAUCCUCAGUACUGUUCCUCUGUCCCACGGAGCAGUGUGCAUCAACACGCCCCUUAUGGCAGGGGCCAGGGCUGUUCUGGUGCUGGUGACAGUGGCUUUCUUGCUCCACUCUGCAUGCACAGGGUCUUUCCCCCCUUGGUGCUGGGAACUGCUGGCAUGCGCCCUCCUACCACUGAGCCACACACCCGCCCGCCCGGCCUUCCUUUCAGAAGAGGUUUAUCCUGUGCUCACUCAGCUCAGGACUCACAGGACACACAGCGAGUUCCUGACAACUGGGAGCUGCUCACACUGCAGACACCUGAAGCAAGUCCAGUCAGCCAGAGCCCUUCACAGGAGCCACCUCCCAAGACAAAGCCACAUUGUGUGGAGGAAAAUGGGCCACCUGAAAUCUCCUGCUGUGCCAGCGGGGUUUGAGUUAGAGGGGCAAACAGAAAGCUGUGGUGGAGAGACAAAAGGGCCUGAGAGUCUCCAGGAAGAUGAAGUGUGGCAGUGAUCUGAGAGAAAAAGGACUGCGUGAUCGAAGAGACUCCUGCUUUCUUUGGCAUGUGGUUAUCACAAUUUGUGUUCACGGGACACUGAGGAGCUGAGCUGCCUCUGGGCUGGCAGGGAGAGCCCAGCUGCACUAUCUUCAGGGCUCUGGGCCCAAGUGAGUGAGUGCAGGCCACCUGGGCUCCUGCAAACAGCAGGCGUGUAAUUAGAGGCUCCUGGGCCAGGACAGACGGUAGGCAGACAAGUCUCGUCCUGUGUCUGAGCUGCUGUGGGUGCUUGGAGCUGCCUCUGCAGCCCAGAGCUGGAGAGCCAGGCUCCCAUUACUCACCCAGCUGCAGGAGCUGUCAACUGGCUUCUGCUCAGCCAAGAGCUGUGAUCAAGUACAGAGCAGAAACACUGUGUACAAGGACACCAGUUCACCUAAGAACAUUAGGACAGCCAGGAAUUCAAACUACACAAAGUACAGCUUCCUGCUCGCUGUGCCCAAGGCAGCUCCGAGCUCAGCCAGAGGAAGGCUGGGCACUUGGGCUGGAAGACACGACUCACUCGACUUACACAAGAGGGGGCGUGCAGGAGUCAUGCAGUCUCAGGGGAAGGCACUGAGCUAAACCCUCAUGACUAUAACAUGAAGAAAUCAUGUGAGGUGUGUGACUUAGAUGCUUAUUGACGUGGAUCCUUAGUUAUUUCUAAGGAAUGAAGGUGCUGCCUGUCCGUGUAAGAGCAGGGUGCCCGUACAUUCCUCGGGACUGUUCCUUGGUGACGACAACUUGUCUACUUAGUGGGGGAGAAGAGCUGAGCUGGGUGUCUACCUUUGUGCAUGCUGUGCUAGGGUGGGGUCACUUGCUUGGAGCUCCUGGGAGAGGUCUAGCUCACAGAAGGAGAGGCACGCCACACCAACAGCCUGACAGCACCCUCCAAGACAGGGGCAAACAAGUACUUGGAGCAGUUUCUUCCCAUCCAUCCGCCCCCUCCCUGCACCCACCCCACCUGCUGCCAUGGGGCCGAGGACACCAGAGACAAUGAUAGUUAAGGGCUGCUCAGGUACAGGAAAACACACAAGCACGUUUGCCACUCUGAAUUCCAGGCAGGAAACAUGAAAGCCGAUGGGAGCUCGUCUGAACGCGUGAGCCAUGACAGCAGGUUCCUGGGGGCUCAGGUGUGAGAUACUGAAGUUGUAUUCAUUCAGAGGAGAAGCAAGCGGGAAAACCCACACCUUCCCCGAUCAUUCGACUGCCUAGAUCACAUCAUUUCCAGUAACCACAGCAGUGAGAGAGGAGGCUAACCCAGUGUGCACAAUCUGAACCCUCUACCAAAUUCCAUUCUUCUCCCCUUUAUCAAAAUGAAGUCGCCAAACUUCUCUUAAAAGUUGUAUGAUUCACACGCGGAGAGUAAAAGAGCCAGAACAUUUUGUCAAAUGACCUAGUCUGCAAAGACAAGUCCCUGAGUGCAUUUUAGUUUGAACAAAACAUGUUUCCUCAAGGACAAGAAAACCUCGGCACUGUAGGACAGGGUUAAACAGUAGCCCCUUCCUGGCUGGUACAGGUUUCAGGUGAAAAAGUGUGGAGCUCAAGUCUGUGGUACCCGGAGGCAUUUAAAGGAAAACACUCAUGGAUUUUCAAAGUCAGAAGGUCUUUCCUAGACUAACACCAGUCAGUCCUGCGGGAAACCUGGCCGAUGAAAGCCAACACACAAGGGUUUCACCUUCCCAGGUGCAACGAGCUCACACGUGUUUACAUGGCAACGUCUUUUUAAAGCUUUAUUGGCUUUUUACAAAAUGCCUGGCAAAAUGGGAACAGUAAUUUCUGAAUUUUAAAAAGUAGGGCCAAAGUUCAUUUUAAUAGUAACUUUUUCUCAACAUGAGUAUUGGACUGGUGUCAUUUUCCUAGUUUUAAUAAUUAGAGGAGAUAUUAUCAUUGGGCAGAUCUGGGUAAUGGGUACAGGGGAUCUCUCCUAUUUUUGAAACUUCUUGUGUACCCAUAAUGAUUUCAAGAUAAAAAGUUUUAUAAAAACCCUUAUGUAUGAAACAAUUGCUAGGAGCUUAUUUUUAAGGAAAAAGCUCUAAUAUAUACUGAGACUAUGAGUUAUGUGAUGAAACUAAGAACCAAAAUAGAGAGUAGUUCAAAAUACAUUUAGAUUCUUGGGCUGGGGGCAUAGCUCAGUGGUAGAUCAAGUGUUUAGGCUAAAUGAGACCCUGGGCUCAUCACCACCAAUACCAAAAUAAAUAGUUUUGGGGUUUUUAAAAAAUAUAUAUAUUUUUAGUUGUAGAUGGACACAAUACCUUCAUUUAUUUAUUUAUUUAUCUAUUUACUUUAAUGUGGUGCUGAGGAUCGAACCCAGUGUGCUAGGCAAACACUCCAACACUGAGCCUAGCCCCAGUUUUUGAUUCUUAAACAAGUAGACAAAUGAGUAUUGUUCUCUUUAUUCUCAUCAACUAUGACCUUUCUAGCAGCCUCUCUGCAGUCCCUCUUUUUUCUAAAGGUCCCUAGAAAUGAAGAAGUAUCCUCUUAAAGAUAGUUCUUCCUUCUCCUAACAUACUUGAGACCUAGGAAGAAAUAAGCAGAGAACUGCAUCAGCUUCCAUUAGCAUGUCUUGGGAAUUUAAUAAAAACAAGAGGACAAGAGACCCUGGAUUACUGCGACCUGGAAACUGACAAAACCCACUGACCACUUGAGCUGGCCUUCUUGACAGUGGCUUCUGUUUCCUUCCACGAAAGGUACCUAAUGAUCAGCCCCUUGGGCCUGUUCUGGCUCAGGCUCACACGAACCAAUGACAGACAUGAAGCUCUUCAUAGAGAAAGUGCAAGUCCACCUGGAGCCCAGUGUUCCUGACUUUAGGCCAGUACUUUUGCCAGAUGGUACAGGUCCUCUCUGAGGGGAUUUGAUGAUGGCCAGAGCAGCAGCUGACAGACCACGGUUGUCCUACUGGUGUCUGACUCAGCAACAGCCAAGCGUCAGGGGGACUGGAGUUGACCUGCGCGUGGGGACUCUUUAGAAUUCAGCUUCCGUGGUGUGUGGUUGGAGAAAACGGCAAACGGUUCCAGCAGUGUGCUGUUAGCAUGGUGGCUGGGCACACUGGUUUAGCCAUGAGAAAACUGCAAAGAAAGUACAUUCUUGCAAAAUCAAGGAAAAAUGCAAAGAGGAAACCAGAGAUGGAACUAAGGAAAGAUAACUACAAGACAAAGUAGUGCCGGGGGUGAUGCCCAAACUACAAGAGGCAGAUGAGGACCAGCCACACAGUGCUGCAUUCAGACAUUCGACCCACAGUACUUACUGCCCCGCAGGGCCAGGCAGCACUGGCUCUAGGAUGAGGACAGGGACAGCUGAGAGUCCCUGCCCCAGAGCUGACCCUCUUUCAAAGGGUGGAUAUACACCACACCUGUGGCCUGGGACCUGCUCCCCACUUCCCUGGUACCUUUUAGAACACCGUUUUCCUCCCUCUCCACUGCAGGCCAUGCUGAUCUCUGUCCUGGACCACAGCAGCUUGAGUCCUUCAGUGUCCCUAUACAUUAUGGUCUCCCACAGUGUUCUCCACACAACAGCAACUGUCAUGUUUUCUAAAACAAAUCUCCAUCAGGCCAGGUGUGGUGGCACAUGCCUAUAAUUCCAAUGUAAUCCCAAUAACUUGGGAGGCCGAGGCAGGAGGCUCACAAAUUUGAGGCCAGCCUUGGCAACUAAGUGAGACUCUGUCUCAAUUGUUUUAGAAAGGGUUUGGGGUGUAUCUCAGAGACAGUGACCUGGUGCUCACUCCCUAGUAGCAAAAAAAAAAAAAAAUCACCUUUCUUCCCUAUUUGGGAUCUCUGGAGUGGCCACCACUGCUGUCCCACCACCCAGCCCCCUGCCAGUGUUCUCCAGCUUUGUGAAGAUGCAGCAGUCUCCUACCGCAGGAUCUCACGGGCUUGCUUCCUCUGCUGUGGAUGCCCACACCCUGACUCACUAUUCACCUCCCUCAGCCUCCACUCCAGCCCUCAGAGCCUCUCUCUCAAAGGUAGGAUGCUCUUUGUCACCUGUCACCCCCACUGCUUGUUAUCUUUAUAGCACUUUAUCCUAAGUUACAAUCCUGAACUGCUUUAGAGUCUGUGGGACAGGGAGGCGUUUCUUUUCCCAAGAUCCCCCACUCGGCUGGUUAAGUCUGUGGGAUGAACUCCCAAAGCUCAGGAGUUCCCUGGUAAAAUGUGGGAACUGACACCCAACUUUCAGGUGACCUCCAACAAUCUUCGUGUACGGGCCCUUACGGUGCCACUCACUGUGGUUUGUAUGUAGCUGUCACAAGAUAAUUCCGCCACCCUGCUUUAUCAAGAAAACAGGGUCGUAUUUUAAGGAAUCUGUCCAUAUACAGCCUCAGAAGAGGGGCUGGAGUUCCGGCCCACGCCACCCGAGCCGAGCCCUCACCUUAACUGAAGAGAAAGCAGGCUCAGCAUAGGUGCCCAGCUGAGGUCAUGGAGGGUGACCACCCCCACACCCAGGAAAGUGAGGGGGCUGUCAAGGGCACAGAGAAUCGUACCAACAGCAGGUGGACAGAUGCUGCCAGGGGCCCCCCCUGCUCAGUUAAAGCAACCUCAGAUGCCAGUGAGCACAGUCUGCAGCUCCCUGCCAGGCUGGGGACAGGGUACUCUCUGCAUGGCCCCAAACAAGCAAGAAGCAAAGUUGUGGGCCACAGCCAUCCAGACCCAGCCCUGAGAUUCAAAACCGGUCAGAUUCAGUCUGAAUGACAGGGCUUGUCCUUUCCACCGCAUCCUCCUGGACAGGGACCCCGGCCCCCACCUCCCUGGGUAUAACUACUUCGAUAGUUAAUACAGACUCAUUCAAUUUCCUUAUUGUUAAAGGUAAAUUAUAAGCAGC